UCUCUUUGGACGCUAUAAAGAAAAACAUUGCGAGUCCAAAUGAUCUCAAAAACACCAUUAAUAUUGAAUCCAACAAGUUCAAACAAUGAAUCUCCAAAACUUAGUUCCUCUGUUUUUUUUUUUUUUUUUUUGGCCGUUUUCCAGAAACCGUUCACAGCGUUUCAGGAGGCUGAAUUUACGCGCGUCAGUCAUUUGGGAGAGGAAGAAAGGUGGAAAAGCAGAGCUCUUCCAUUUGCUUCCACAGAUUUCUCAAGCUCUCUCUCAAGCCUGGAACCCUGGCCUCCACAGAUUUCACUCACCUUUUGUUUUAAUUGAAUUUCGAUCAACGUUGGAGCUUAUGCUUCCACUUCUUUUCCAUUUUUCUUUUCCUUUCGCUUCUCUCUGUCGCUUUAUGUCACGACUCUCGCCUUCUGUCGUUGUCCAAGCUAGCUUUCUUUCGCUCUCAAACGUCGUCCGUUGUCGCUAUCCGACCUCCCCGUCUUCUUGCUGAAAAGCCACCGAAGCAAUAUAAGCUUCUUCAAAUUUUCAGUUUAAUUCGAAGAAAAUGUUACCCUGAAAAGCUUGGGUUUCCUGGUUUUUGUUGCUACUUCGAGCCAUGAAGCACGCAGUGUGGAGCCAUUUGUUGCUACUACGGUGCUUGGAGAAAUCAUUCUGGAGCAGAUUCAUGAGAUUAGUGGGGAAUACUUUGCCAUUGGGUUGUAUAUUUCACCAAUAGUCUCCAACUAGGAGAAAGAGAAGGAUCCGAAUGGGAGCAAGCCACAAAAUGGAACAAACGAGCGCAUGAGAAUUUUAUGUUCAGGGGAUUUGGGGAGAGGGUGACCAAUCAUCUGAAAAAAACUCAAGUAUAUGUUUUGGAACCGCUCUCUGCUCAAGCCCUAUGACAGCACUGAUUAAUUUGGUUCUUACUGGAUCAAUCAAGGAGGUUAGAAGGGUGUAACCAAUGGUUUUUGAAAAAAGUUGGUUGUUCAAUUUUCCAAUUUUGUCUUUAUGGUUGUUUGAAUGGACCUUGGUAUAAUCUAAAUACAGUUGAAUUGAAUGGCUAUUUUUCUACAUUGUAUUUUCUUUCUUAAAUUGAUUCAUUUUUGUUGAUGAAGGUAAUUUGGUUUUGUAGGUCAAGGUUUUUUGGCAAGAAAAUUAUGCCGGAAAUUCAAUUGAGCUAUGAAUGCUUGCACUUAUUUAAAUUAGUUCAUAUGAAUAUUGAUUUCACUUCGACAUUGAAUUAUCUCUUGGAUAAGCAGCAGGUAUAUAUUUGUCAAUAGUACUAAUUAAUAACAUACUGCUGCUCAUAGAUUUGUUAAAUUCAUUCAAGCGUUUUUAAUAUUUUUGUUAAAUAAAUUACAAAGGAGUAUUAAUGGCCUUCAUCUGGUACCAAUCAAUCAAGUGAAAGAUGAGUUGUUUGAAUGCUUGAUUUUACUUGAAUCAAAGUCUCCAACUAGUAGAAAGAGAAGGACCCGAAUGGGAGCAAGGCACAACAAGGAACAAACGAGCAUAUGAGAAUUUUAUGUUCAGGGGAUUUGGGGAGUGGGUGAUCCAUCAUUUGAAAAAACUCAGUUGAUCAGAGUAAAUGUUGGGUACAUUUGCUUCUGACGAAGAACCUUAUGUCAACACUUUGGAAGAGCAGACCACUCCAUUUAGGUUGCUUGCAAGGUUUAUGCAGCAAAACUUAAGGGAAACUUUUGGUGCUCCGUGGACAACUGCAGGGAGUGCUAAUAAACUGAUUUUCUAGGAUUUUUUGGUCUUUGCUGGAUUUUGGUCUUUGAAAUGGGUUGGAAAGGCUCGAGAUGUUGGUGUCAAUGGAAAUGUGCUUUCCCUAAAGUUUCAGAUGCUUUGAAGUGUAUCCAAGGUUUGGUAGAAGGUGUGCUUCGGUGUAUCAUUUUGAUAGCGUUUGGUGAUCUUCAGAACAAUACAUUUAUGUGCAGAGCAGCAGUUGCACGAUUUGAUUUGAGUAACGGCUUGUCGUACAAGGCAUGUCCAAUCUGCUUCAAACAACUAAAACCAAAGCCCCAAAGUGAACCCUAUUGCCUGAUUCAAAGUUAGUUUAAUUCUUGAAGAUGCCAAUGACGAAACCAAUGCCAUCAUUAUAGGCAAAUCAGUCGAAGAACUAUUUGGAAUCACAUGUGAAGAAUUAGUAGUCAACAAAGGUUUCUGUGACCAAAAGGAAUUACCACCACAAAUGCUCCGAGUAAAAGAUGAAAUCAAACUUUUCCAACUCAGACUUGGAAAAGUUAAAAAUGACACAAGUAGAAGUGACUUGCUCAUCAAAACUGUUUUCGAGGAUCAAGCACGAAUUCAUCUUUCAAACAACAACAAAGGUGAUGAAGCAAUAAGUAACCUUAGGAAGAAACAUAUGGUUCAUGAAAUGCUACCGUCCACACCACCACUCUCACUCAAGAAAUCUCUACCUUCAUCUCCAUGUGAGAGCAGUUCAAGUUCAAAGAAACGAUAAAGGGAGCCAGUCAGAAAGAUUCUUUCCACCUCUACACCAACAAAAAAACCCAAGAGUGAUACCACAAGUGGAUACAGUGAAAAGACCUAUGCAUUUGAAGAGACCGAUGACGAGAUGUAGCAAACCCAGAUCAAUCUCCCAGUGAAUAAAUUCAUCGUUGUCGUACAAGAAAAAGGAGACACCAUUAGAGCAACUCCAGCGUGGGAGCCCUUCCUCCAAGCUAUUCACUAUUUAAUCCACCUAGUGAAUAGUAACUAUCCUUAAUGAACCGUAACUGUUUUUUGCAUCUCUACCAUUGCACUUGAAUAGCCUUGGCAAUAAACAAUAAAAUAAUAGUAUUUUUUUAUUUGUAGAUUGGUAUUCUGUGAAAAUGCAAAUUUGUCCAAUUUGAAGGUAGCAUCCACACCUGGACUUGACCUUUCCCUGUAAACAACAACCACUUUGAUUUCAUUUGCUGUUGCUGCCUUUGUCUUUGCCUCUGGCUUUGGUGGGGUACAUCCUUUGCUGAUAAGCUUGAAUUCUCGCAACAAACACAACCCUCCAAAAAGCAAACCCUCUGAAGAAACUGCUUUUGCUGUUGCUACCUGCUUCUGCUUUUUCUUGGCCUUUUUUUGCUCAAAACCCAACUCUAGCACACAUUGAAUUCCCUGGAUUUUGAUUUGGAUUUGGCUUUUGUUGUUUUUGCUCCUUUGAAUUCCAAGAAAUGAGAGCGGGGUUGAGUACGAUCCAGCAAACGUUAACCCUAGAGGCGGCGAGCCUCUUGAACCACUCGAUUGCCGAAGCGGGUUGACGGAACCACGGCCAGACGAUGUCACUACACGUGGCAGCAACCCUUUUGUCCUCCCCCAUCGGCUUCCUCCGCCAAGCAUGCAUCAAAUCUCACCCUAAUUCCUUCCAUCCUUUGCAGUGCCGAUCUCUGGAGCUCUAUCUCUGUGGCCCUCAAAAAGCGUGGAGACGUUGUCCUGAUGUCAGUCCACGUCAGAUUGCCUUCGGUCGCUCGGGCCGGCACGAAUCGACGGACCUGGUGCUCGAGCUUGCUCGGGCUCCCUCGCCACCCAAUGCUAGACUUCCUCCCUCGAGCAAUCUAGCCCCGUUCCGGAGCCUGUCCCUCGAGCAGGAGCUCCGAGCUCCCGCUGGAGCUACACUUAACGUAAGGAGUUACACAUAUAGGUGUCUUUAGUGGAACAAACCUUGCUUUUUGAGCUUUGUACAAUUUUAGACGUAAAAGUCUUCCUGGGAUAGGACCAUAGCUUUUGAAGAACAAUCUCCAAGGAUGAUAGUAACAUGCUUAAUUUUUGGCAUGUAAUAUGUGAAAGUAAAUAGAACCCUCUGGCUAUGGCGUACUACCAUCCCAGGUUUUGUCAUGUAAUACAAGAACGUAAAUAGCACUCUCUAACUAUGCCAUGUCAGCAUCCUCAAUUUUCUCAUGUAAUAUAUGUAUAUAACCCUACUCUUUGGCACA